UGGGGAAUAUUGCACAAUGGGCGCAAGCCUGAUGCAGCCAUGCCGCGUGUAUGAAGAAGGCCUUCGGGUUGUAAAGUACUUUCAGCGAGGAGGAAGGCAUUGUGGUUAAUAACCGCAGUGAUUGACGUUACUCGC
rnacentral:rRNA from 1 species